UCCAAGAACUAAAACUUCUCCCUUGAUUCUCUUGUAUUUCUCAAAUAUCUAUUUCAAUAUAUUUUCAUCAAAAUAUUUUCAUCAUCCAGUGCUCAUUCCUGAGCAACAAGGAUUUGAGGAAAAAAAUUCAUUUCUGAUAUCGAAUUGUUGACAGAACGAUCCUAAUUCUUUUGCACAUAGUUUUCUUUCUUUCUUUAAUUGUUUUUGAAGUUUUAAAUCUUGACAGAUUUUUAGUCCUUCCUUUUGGAUAAAACUUAUGAGUUCUCCGUAUGCAAGAUUUUCAUAAGGAGCUCUAAUUCUUAAUGGAGUGCUCUAAUUCCUAUGUUUUUAUGUACAUAUCAGACUUCUGUUAAAAGGAGAUGUUGUGAUUCUAUUUCUCCUUUGUUAGUUUGCCAAUUAUUACCAGUUUUUGUUGUAUUUAUUGACUGAGUAUCAUAAUGAUU